UAGUAACAGUCCGACAGUUUUGUCCACCGCUCCACUCGAAACCUCAAAAACCCUCGCCCCUACCUUAAACCCCCUGAAUUCUUUGUCCUUAGAAAUCCUCUUCUCAAGACUAUUAUGUCUUCUGGCACUCCUACUAUUCAGUAUGUCACUCACAUUGAGUCCUAUGUCAGCUCUUCCACCUCUCCCGCACAACAGGCUGCAAGCAUUGAUGCAAUUGCUCUUCUUUUGAAGAAUGACCUCUUAAGUUUAGAAGCCUUGGUUAGAGAGAUGGAGAUGUAUUUGACUACUACAGAUAGUAGCAUUCGCUCAAGAGGUAUCCUCUUACUUGGAGAACUAUUGAUGCGACUAGUAUCGAAGCCGUUGGGGGAUACCGCAAUAAGCAGCUUGAUAGAAUUCUUCACAGAGAGGCUGGCAGACUGGAAAGCGUUGCAUGGUGCCCUUGUCGGUUGUUUGGCUCUACUAAGGAGGAAAAAAGAUACUGGUAUGAUCAAUAAGAGUCAAGCAAAGGCUGUUGCAGAGUCUUAUCUUAAAAAUCUGCAGGUUCAGUCCUUGGGGCUGCAAGACAGGAAGCUUUGCCUUCAAAUAUUGGAAUGCCUGUUGGAUCGCUAUCGGGAUGCACUUUUUUCACUGGGUGAUGAUCUCGUUUAUGGAAUCUGUGAAGCUAUUGAUGGUGAAAAGGAUCCACAGUGCUUGAUGCUCUUAUUUCAUAUAGUUGAACUGCUGGCGCAAUUAUUUCCUGAACCUUCUGGUCCAUUGGCGAAUUAUGCAGGGGAUUUGUUUGACUUUUUGGGAUGUUACUUUCCUAUCCAUUUUACCCAUCCUAAGAGUGAUGAUGUUGAUGUAAAGAAGGGGGAACUCUCAAGGGCCCUAAUGCUGGCAUUUGCUUCGACACCACUUUUUGAACCCACAGCCAUUCCAUUACUUCUUGAAAAACUGUCUUCUUCUCUGCCGUCAGCAAAGGUGGAAUCUUUUAAGUACCUUAGCUACUGCACGUUGAAAUAUGGAGGAGAUAGAAUGGAAAAAUACACAGGAUCCCUUUGGUCUGCAUUAAAAGAUGCAAUAUUUACUAAUCCACAAUCCACUUUAUCAGUGGAUUCCGAUCCAGUAGAUGGAUUAGGUUUUCAUGAGAGUGAAAUUAUGACACAGGCCCUUGAACUUCUUCAGGUGCUUGUUCGUCAGCAUAAUGCUUCAUUCUUGAGUUUGAUUCUGGGUGAUGGGGACAUAAGCACAUUUCUGAACUCCUUUUCCCAGUUAGACGAUUUUAAUAAUCUUUCUACCCAAUACAAGCAGAGAUUACAUGCCGUUGGGCGUCUUCUUUCUGUUUGCAUUAAAUCUUCGGCAUCUUCCUGCAAUAAAGUUUUUGAAAGUUUCUUUCCUCGGUUGGUGGAUGCUUUAAGGCUCUCGGUUGAAAAUUCCCAUGAGACUAUUCAUUCAGCUUUGGAUGCAAACUUUAACUUUGGGGCCUUGUAUCUAUGCGUUGAAUUCCUUGCCGCAUGCAGACAGCUGGUAGUCAGCUCUCAUAAAGUCACUUCAGCUUCUGAUCUAUCUCGUGACUCUUGGUGCCAGAUACUUCGUAGUUUCUGCACAUCAUUAUGCAAUGUUUUCUUUUGUCUCAUUCGCACAAGUUCUUCUGAAAGUACUUGGAAUGCUUAUGUUUAUGCAGCAGUUAAAGGUUUGGAGAUCUUGGCUACAUUUCCUGGAAGCUUUAUUUCAGUGUCAAAGCUCAUGUAUGAGAAUAUCUUGCUGACUUUGACGUCAAUCAUUGAAUCUGAUUUCAACAAGAAGUUUCUAUGGAAGGCAGCACUGAAAGCAUUAGUGGAGAUCAACUUGUUUGUCAAUAAGUAUCAUGAGGAUGAGAAGGCAGCUAGCUUUAACACUAUUGUCAGGCGAAAGAUUGUUUCUCUGAUUUCUUCUGAUGACUUAAAUAUGCCUCAAUCACUCAAACUGGAGGCCAUUUUUGAUAUUGGAGUGACUGGGAAAAGUUUCAUGCUUAGUGCUGUGAGCGAAUUGGAGAAAACUAUAUCUGCCAGCUUGUCUGAGAUUUUUGUCUGUGGAGAUCGGCGGUUAGCUGAAUUGACAGCUGGGCUUUUGGAAUGUUAUUCCAAUAAGGUACUUCCAUGGUUCCAUUGCAAUGGAGGUGUAGAUGAAGUCUCUUUGAAUCUUGCGAUUAAUAUUUUCUCUAAAAUGGAAAAAAGCACAUCUUUGAGUCUAGGAGCAAAGGGAAAGGAACUUCUGGAUGCAACAAUGGCUGCAAUGAAGCAAUCUGUGGCAGGCUGUUCAGUGGAAAGCCAGGAAAAGGUUCUUCAGAAAGCUUUUGAUGUGAUGGCAACAAGCUCCUUUUUCGUUUCAAAAGAUUUGAUUCUAGGAACCGAUCUCUUUAACAAGAAAACUCAACUUGGUCAGACUUUUGAGGGUUUGUCAUGUAGAGACGAAUGGAUUACUUCACUCUUCACGUCAGUUGUAAUUGCGUUGCGUCCUCAAACUCGGAUACCAAAUAUAAGACUGUUAUUACAGUUGCUGGCGACGACUCUCCUUGAAGGUCAUAUUCCCUCAGCUCAGGCCCUGGGUUCUUUGGUUAACAAACUUCCUCUAAAUAUAUCAGAAGACUGCAGUCUCGAAAAAGUUAUUGACACGUUGUUCAAGAAUGUAAUGUGGUGCAACAUUAGUAUUGGGAAAGAGGGCAAUGAUGGUGGUGCGGUUGAUAUGAGUAACCUGAAACUAAGUAGUCUGAAUAUUCAUGCUGUUGUUGGAUUAGCAUGGAUAGGGAAAGGUUUGCUUAUGCGGGGUCAUGAGAAGCUAAAAGACGUGACUAUGACUUUCUUGAAUUGCUUAGUUUCAAAUGGAGAUUAUGGAAAUUUGCUACCUUUUAAUGAUCAAAUGAAAGAUCGCGCUGAGCAGAAAGUGCUUUGUCUCAGAAAAUCAGCUGCAGAUGCAUUUCAUAUUCUUAUGAAUGAUUCUGAUGCUUGUUUGAACAGAAAUUAUCAUGCAAGCAUUCGCCCACUCUAUAAACAACGGUUUUUCAACAUUAUGAUGCCUAUGUUCUUAUCUGCAUUAGUAAAAUGUGAUUCAUCCACUACAAGGUGUUUUCUCUAUCAAGCUUUUGUACACCUGGUAUCUGAAACUCCUCUUGCUGCUGUUGUUGGUGACGCCAAAAAAGUCGUUCCUGUACUUAUGGAUUGCUUUCUUAUAUUGAGCAAGGAUGUCUCUCAUAAGGAGAUAAUUUAUAGUGCCUUAAUAGUUCUCUCUGGAAUAUUAACGGAUAAAAAUGGACAAGAAGCUAUCGUAGAAAAUGCUCCCACGGUGAUCGGCAGACUUAUUGAGCUCACAUCCUAUCCUUAUAUGAUGCAGGUGAUCCGAGAGACUGCAAUCCAGUGCCUUGGUGCCAUGUCAGAGCUGCCGCAUGCGAGGAUAUAUCCCAUGAGAACACAGGUGUUGCAAGCUAUAACCAAAGCUCUUGAUGAUCCAAAGAGGGUUGUUCGUCUAGAGGCAGUCAAAUGUCGGCUAGCUUGGGCUUCAAUGGCAUCAAGGAGUAUUCACUUCUAAAAGCACGCAGCAGGCGUCCUUGCAAGCCUGGUUGGGUAAUAUCUUUACCAUGAUUGCAUAGAUAAGCAGGAUUGCUACCACAUUCAUGUGUUGCAUCCUUGUAGAUGGUACACCCUCUUGCUUCUGCUUGUAUAGUAGCUUAUCGAUAGGUCUACAAUCAGCCCUUCUCGUUUGCUGUUUGUUUCUUGGCAAGGGGGGGCGUCAGACAUGUUGUCAAUGACAUGGUCCUUAAAUUUCAAUAUGAGGAAGUGGUCUCUGGAGUCUUUGACAGCUGCUCUUGUAUCGAAGUUCUUUGUCACUCGGCCAGCAAUCACGGUGUAUACUUGUUACAAGGGAUAAUCCCCCUGCAGUGAUCCAACAUCGGAAGGGGCAGCAGUUUUAUUCCACACCCCAGUGAGCGAUUAAGUGGUGAUGCAUCAAUCUUAAUCCUACAAUGAACAUCCCCAUCUCCUCUCAGUAUGCAGAGAGAGCUAGCUGUAAAUGAAAAUUGUACUGACCUUUGUAAAGCUUCGAACUUGUGGCUACCAUGGAUGUCAUUCCACAACUUGGAAGCCCUGCUUGAACCGUUGUAGUGGGUGGAACUGAAUGCUUCAAAAACUUUGGGACAUUCUACUACCAUACAUUGUAUCCUAUUGAUUCAAUUUCCUUCAACCA